rnacentral:tRNA from 8 species
GCCACUUUAGCUCAGUUGGUAGAGCACCCGCCUUGUAAGCGGACGGUCAACAGUUCGAGUCUGUUAAGUGGCUCCA